AACAAAUCCGCAGUUCGCUGAAAAUGUCACAUGUUACCUCAAGGCGGUAGCUUGGGAGAAGUCGCUUGUUCAAAUGGACUGUCAUCUUAAAGAACCCUUAAGGAAUCCAACCGUGCAUAUUAAGCUAUAUAAAAAGGACUAUAACAACCAG